rnacentral:rRNA from 1 species
UCUGCCUACGGGACGCAGCAGUGAGGAAUAUUGGUCAAUGGCCGCAGGGCUGAACCAGCCAAGUCGCGUGAGGGAUGACAGUCCUAUGGAUUGUAAACCUCUUUUGUCAGGGAGCAAAGGGCGCCACGUGUGGCGUUUUGCGAGUACCUGAAGAAAAAGCAUCGGCUAACUCCGUGCCAGCAGCCGCGGUAAUACGGAGGAUGCGAGCGUUAUCCGGAUUUAUUGGGUUUAAAGGGUGCGCAGGCGGAAUGUCAAGCCAGCGGUAAAAUUUCGGGGCUCAACCCCGGCGAGCCGUUGAAACUGGC